CACUCUGCUCUUUUUUUUUUUUUUUUUUUUUUUUUGGUAUUUUUAUAGAGAAAGAGUUUUGCUUGUUGCCCAGGCUGGUCUCGAACCCCUGACUUCAAGUGAUCCACCUGCCUCAGCCUCCCAAAGCGCUGGGAUUACAAGCUUGAGGCACCGCACCUGCACCAGCAGCUUCAGUCGGUCAUUGCCCUGGGCUUCGAAGAGGUCCUGCACCUGUGGCCAGAUGUGAGGAGUGGACCAAGUCAGUUGGGUGUAAAGCCCAGCCAGGGCACAGGUACCUCUGCAUCCCCGCCUGUCAUGAGCACCCAGACCAACCCUCACCUCCUUGCUCAUGGCCAAGUUACACAUGCACUCCGUGGCUGCCCGGCGGAUCAUCUCAUGCUCCUCAAACAUGUAGCCUUCUAUCAUGGGCACAGCCUUCUCCUUCAGGAUCUUCUGCCUGCAGGGCCACAGGAGGAAGCAGCAGGGAUACGGUUUGGAUGUUUUCCCUUCUAACCCUCAUGUUGAACUAUAAUCCCCAAUGUUGGAGGUAGGGCCUGGUGGGAGGUGACUGGGUCAUGGGAUGGGUCCCUCAUGGCUUGGUGCUAUCCUCGUGAUAGUAAGUUCUCGUGAGAUCUGGUUAUUUAAAAGUGCGUGGCAUCUCGGCCGGGCGUGGAGGCUCACGCCUGUAAUCCCAGCACUCUGGAAGGCCGAGGCAGGCAGAUGACUUGAGGUCAAGAGUUCGAGACCAGCCUGGCCAACAUGGUGAAACCUUGUCUCUACUAAAAAGACAAAAAAAAAUUAGCUGGGUAUGCUGGUGCGCGCCUGUAGUCCCAGCUACUCAGGGAGGCUGAGGCAGGAGAAGCGAUUGAACCCAGGAGGUGAAGGUUGCAGUGAGCCAAGAUUGCGCCACUGCACUCCAGCCUGGGCAACAGAGGGAGACUCCAUUUCAAAAAAAAAAAAAGUGUGUGGCACCUCCCCCGACUGUCUCUUGCUCCUACUUUCACCAUGUGAUGUGCCUGCUCCUGCUUUGCCUUCUACUAUGAGUAAAAGCUCUCUGAGGCCUCCCCAGAAGCUGAGCAAAUGCCAAUGCCAUGCUUACACAGCCUGUAGAGCCAGGAAGCAAUUAAAUCUCUUUUCUUUAUAAAUUA